rnacentral:rRNA from 1 species
CCUACGGGCGGCUGCAGUGGGGAAUAUUGCACGAUGGGCGCAAGCCUGAUGCAGCCAUGCCGCGUGUGUGAAGAAGGCCUUCGGGUUGUAAAGCACUUUCAGCGGGGAGGAAGGCGGUGAGGUUAAUAACCUCAUCGAUUGACGUUACCCGCAGAAGAAGCACCGGCUAACUCCGUGCCAGCAGCCGCGGUAAUACGGUGGGUGCAAGCGUUAAUCGGAAUUACUGGGCGUAAAGCGCACGCAGGCGGUCUGUCAAGUCGGAUGUGAAAUCCCCGGGCUCAACCUGGGAACUGCAUUCGAAACUGGCAGGCUAGAGUCCUGUAGAGGGGGGUAGAAUUCCAGGUGUAGCGGUGAAAUGCGUAGAGAUCUGGAGGAAUACCGGUGGCGAAGGCGGCCCCCUGGACAAAGACUGACGCUCAGGUGCGAAAGCGUGGGGAGCAAACAGGAUUAGAUACCCUUGUAGUC